UAGGGAAUCUUCGGCAAUGGACGAAAGUCUGACCGAGCAACGCCGCGUGAGUGAAGAAGGUUUUCGGAUCGUAAAACUCUGUUGUUAGAGAAGAACAAGGACGUUAGUAACUGAACGUCCCCUGACGGUAUCUAACCAGAACGCCACGGCUAACUACGUGCCAGCAGCCGCGGUAAUACGUAGGUGGCAAGCGUUGUCCGGAUUUAUUGGGCGUAAAGCGAGCGCAGGCGGUUUCUUAAGUCUGAUGUGAAAGCCCCCGGCUCAACCGGGGAGGGUCAUGGGAAACUGGGAGACUUGGGUGCAGAAGAGGAGGGUGGAAUUCCAUGUGUAGCGGUGAAAUGCAUAGAUAUAUGGAGGAACACCAGUGGCGAAGGCGGCUCUCUGGUCUAUAACUGACGCUGAGGCUCGACGGCGUGGGGGGCAAACAGG
rnacentral:rRNA from 1 species